GACGAACGCUGGCGGCGUGCUUAACACAUGCAAGUCGAACGGAAAGGCCCUGCUUUUGUGGGGUGCUCGAGUGGCGAACGGGUGAGUAACACGUGAGUAACCUGCCCUUGACUUUGGGAUAACUUCAGGAAACUGGGGCUAAUACCGGAUAGGAGCUCCUGCUGCAUGGUGGGGGUUGGAAAGUUUCGGCGGUUGGGGAUGGACUCGCGGCUUAUCAGCUUGUUGGUGGGGUAGUGGCUUACCAAGGCUUUGACGGGUAGCCGGCCUGAGAGGGUGACCGGCCACAUUGGGACUGAGAUACGGCCCAGACUCCUACGGGAGGCAGCAGUGGGAAAUAUUGCACAAUGGGCGGAAGCCUGAUGCAGGAACGCCGCGUGCGGGAUGACGGCCUUCGGGUUAUAAACCGCUUUCGCCUGUGACGAAGCGUGAGUGACGGUAAUGAGUAAAGAAGCACCGGCUAACUACGUG
rnacentral:rRNA from 1 species